GAGUCGGAAAAUCGGAACAACACGAAUAUAUCGGACUUCAGAAUCCAAGAUGGCGGCUACUCUCAUCAGUGUCUACGUCGAUUCAUCAUGGACAUGAACAUUUUUGUGGACCCACUGAAAACUUCCCCUGUCCCUGGUCCUUUGUAUCAGAGGGCUGAGGGCCCCAUCACCUGAUGCUCUGUCAGCAGAAGGACAACUAGUAGAACCCAGCGAGUUGCACAUCACAGCCAAUGAGUGCGAUUACGAUGUGGAUGCAGCGAGCAGCCUUUCACACAGCACCUUCAGGCACAGCAUCCAGCCCAACGAUGGACCCAGACGAGAGAUAGACGCCAUCUGCAUUCACAACAAACAUCCAACACCUGUGCACAGAGGAGGGUGGAUGACGAGGUGAUGGAGUUCCUUCAGCAGUCUGAGGAAGGUAGCCCACAGCAGCAUGAGGAGACACUGGCCCAACUGAAGUCAGCCCAAUGGGGUUUUUAAGGCCUUUAUGACAUCGCUGCUCAGUAAAGUUUAAUUUCCAUGCAAAGCUUAUUAUAUACAGAUCUAAUGAAGUCAAG